UACAGAUUAAUUUAAUAAAUAAAUUUUAAAUAUAAUUAUUUAAAGCCUUAAGAGG
rnacentral:tRNA from 1 species